rnacentral:rRNA from 1 species
UGGCGGCGUGCUUAACACAUGCAAGUCGAGCGGUAAGGCCCUUCGGGGUACACGAGCGGCGAACGGGUGAGUAACACGUGGGUGAUCUGCCUCGCACUCUGGGAUAAGCCUGGGAAACUGGGUCUAAUACCGGAUAUGACCACGGAUCGCAUGGUUUGUGGUGGAAAGAUUUAUCGGUGCGAGAUGGGCCCGCGGCCUAUCAGCUUGUUGGUGGGGUAAUGGCCUACCAAGGCGACGACGGGUAGCCGACCUGAGAGGGUGACCGGCCACACUGGGACUGAGACACGGCCCAGACUCCUACGGGAGGCAGCAGUGGGGAAUAUUGCACAAUGGGCGAAAGCCUGAUGCAGCGACGCCGCGUGAGGGAUGACGGCCUUCGGGUUGUAAACCUCUUUCGACAGGGACGAAGCGCAAGUGACGGUACCUGUAGAAGAAGCACCGGCCAACUACGUGCCA